rnacentral:rRNA from 1 species
UACAGAGGGGGCAAGCGUUAUUCGGAAUUAUUGGGCGUAAAGAGCUCGUAGGCGGUUUGUCACGUCUGCUGUGAAAUCCCGAGGCUCAACCUCGGGCCUGCAGUGGGUACGGGCAGACUGGAGUGCGGUAGGGGAGAAUGGAAUUCCUGGUGUAGCGGUGGAAUGCGCAGAUAUCAGGAGGAACACCGAUGGCGAAGGCAGUUCUCUGGGCCGUAACUGACGCUGAGGAGCGAAAGCGUGGGGAGCGAACAGG